CAUUUCAGGUAGUGCAACGUGAGACACAUCAUUUGGUGCUCCUGACACUGAGGUCUCACAACUGUGAAGGGGUGUCAUGUUCCCUGGUCUACCCAUCACUCAGGACAUCAAAUCCUGGGGCUCUCUUCACAAACAGACCUUGUAGAUUUCCGUGAUUCUGACAACUGUGUUGCAGCAGAUAGCAGCUGGUGGCUUUUCUAAUGCAUUGCAAAGGCAGUUCGGGCUGGUUGUGGAACAGAAAGUGCUGUGUGGGCCGGAUGACUGUUCUAGCCACGCGCUGUGGAGGGUGAGGUGCCUGCUACUCCCAUACUGUCACAUGUUGGUGUCAAGCCUGCAGGGCAGAGGCUAUGGAGCACCUGCCUCUACUGAGCGUGGCCUGGCGGCAUCACCUGCUGAGCUGUCUGUACCAAGGCAGCUGAAGCCUACACAGAAACCUCCUUGUGCAACUCUCCACGUGAACCAGUCACUGGAACUGCGGUGCCCUGGGCGAGAGAUUAACGAGAUUUCACCAGAAUUCACUCACAAAAUUCCCUGCAGACACACUGUGUUUUCCAUUCCACUGACGUGUAUCUUCUGCAGCAACCGCAUCCUGCUGGUUCCACAUGCAUCGUCAGAAGGUGAACCUGUGAGUCACAGCGAUGCUCCAGGCUCCACAUGUGAGCAAUCGUGCAAGCACCGACUCCUAGAGAUGGAAGAGGCCCAAGAGUGCCUGAUGCAAAAGUCCCUCUCCGGCACCCUGUUAGACAGUACUGCAGCGCAUGUUUGAAACAGACGACAGAGAAACAGGACACCUGCCUCCCACUCGCCGGCCCUGUGUUUCCCUGGUCACUCCUGAGCUAUACGGGAAGUGGCUGCAUCCAGAAUCACAAAGGAGUCUGCCGCCAAAACCAUCAACAUGGGCUUUCCUCCAGCUAAAGUGCUUCAGCUCUCCUAGUCUUCCGGGAACCUUGGAAAAUAUCCAGCCUCUUGAAUUCCCACCUCAGAUGUCAUCUCAUCCAGAAAGCCAUUUGUGACAGUCCGUGAGAAAGAACUUAACCUUCUUCCUCUGCACCUUGCUGGAAGCCAGUCCUCUUAGCUUGCUCUGUGUUUUUUUUUCUCAUAGACCUUAUUAAUAUACAGCAUAGUAUGGCAAUGACUUGUUUUAUUUAUUAUGUAUCAUCACCCCCUCCCAGAAAAUGAGU
rnacentral:lncRNA from 13 species